GAGGACGCUCGACCGUAAGGUCGAGGUGAUCCUUCCGCGUAACACUUGCCGAAGCCUUAGCAGCCCGAAAGGGUGCAGCCCCAACGACUGUAAACAACGAGGGUUGCUUAAAUGCUAGUCUGCGCGAAGCAGGCGACACUAUCAAAUUGCGGGGACACCCUAAAGACCUCAACACCAAGCGAUCGCGGGAAACCGUGGCGUGGCCGAGCUAAUAGCCCUGGGUAUGGUAACAGCUUGAGGUAUGACACCCCUUCCGGGGGUCGAAAUGGGCAAUCCGCAGCCAAGUCCUAAAGCGCUCUCGCGGGCGUCAUGGAUGCUGUUCACAGGCCAAAUGGUAGUGGGUGAGCCCUCAGGGGUUUGCUUAAGAUAUGGUCGGGCCCUUUCAGAAAUGUUAGGGGUAAGUUUGCGCAGUCAAUGGUUACAUUGGCUUCCAACGAGAAAUAACCGUUCCGUAGGUGAACCUGCGGAAGGAUCAUUA
rnacentral:rRNA from 1 species